rnacentral:tRNA from 1 species
AAGCUUAUAGCUCAGUGGUUAGAGUCUACGCCUGAUAAGCGUAAGGUCAGUAGUUCAAAUCUACUUAAGCUUA